UCCGAAUUGGUGUAGUGGCUAACAUUUGACGCUCUCAUGUACUGUGGUGUGCCGUCAAGCCCGGGGUUCGAUUCCCCGAUUCGGAG